UACGUAGGUGACAAGCGUUGUCCGGAUUUACUGGGCGUAAAGAGCGCGCAGGCGGUCGUUCAAGUCGCGUGUGAAAGCCCCCGGCUCAACUGGGGAGGGUCACGCGAUACUGAUCGACUGGAAGGCAGGAGAGGGUAGUGGAAUUCCGGGUGUAGUGGUGGAAUGCGUAGAGAUCCGGAGGAACACCAGCGGCGAAGGCGGCAUCCUGGACUGGUCCUGACACUCAGGAGCGAAAGCGUGGGGAGCGAUCCGG
rnacentral:rRNA from 1 species